GACGAACGCUGGCGGCGUGCUUAACACAUGCAAGUCGAGCGGUAAGGGCCCUUUCGGGGGUACACGAGCGGCGAACGGGUGAGUAACACGUGGGUGACCUGCCCUCAGCUCUGGGAUAAGGCCUGGGAAACCGGGUCUAAUACCGGAUAUGACUCCAUGACGCAUGUUGGUGGGGUGGAAAGCCUUGUGCGGCUGAGGGAUGGGGCCCGCGGCCUAUCAGCUUGUUGGUGGGGGUGAUGGCCUACCAAGGCGACGACGGGUAGCCGGCCUGAGAGGGCGACCGGCCACACUGGGACUGAGACACGGCCCAGACUCC
rnacentral:rRNA from 1 species